CUCGCCGCCAUUUUAGAUGAGGGCAGAAGCACUUUCGCCCUGGGACUGUGUUUGUUCAGGGCUUCCAGGGCCAAGCCGAUUGGCUCUGGGCUAUGGCCGGCGGAAGUGAUCGCGUACUUGCUAGCCCACACUCUUAUCUUCCUGGGCCAGGUGGAUUCUUUCCUCGUCAGAGACAUGCUGAGCUCCAACCUUCUCUCAGUUAUCAGCUGCGUAAACAAGACUGUGUCCGGAUCAAGAAGAGUUGCUGAGAGGAACACAGGACCAAGUUAGUGAGCAGAGCCCCAAGAGGGCUGGGAUUACAGGUAUAAACCACCACACCCGGCUUGAACACACUCUUAAAGCAAAGGAAUCCAUCUAUUAGAGAUCAUUUCCCACAACCUCAGUAGGUAUGGCUAAUUACCUAGUACUUUAUUUCCUCCAGAAGGAAAAUGAAACCAGCAGUUAUAAAGAUGCCAUAUUCUCCCUCAUAUGACGCCCACCCUUAGGACUAUAAAAAUACACUUAAAUACAAAAGCACUUAACUCUGGGACAUUGGAUCUUUGUGGUUGGAGUAAAAGAACAGACCCAGAAACCUGCCAUAGGGUAGGGCGGAGAAGUGGUCUUUGGGUUGGCUUUUUCCCCCGUCUUCAACCAGCUCCCCUCCCUUGGACCUGAGUGCUUUAAAAUUCGCGGGCACGCCUUGCGCAGGCGCAGUACUGCUUGCAUCUUUACUACGCAUGCGAAGUGACGUUAGGAUGGUGGUGUUGCCGUCUGUGGUGGUUCCCACCAGCAGGGACAAAACCUUGCUGGGUUGGGAGCCUAGCUCUGCACACACGACCGAGCCCUCCCAUGGAAACAGGGCCCAGCAUAAAGGAAUGGAUGGAGAAUGUCAUCUCGUCGCUACCUGGGAGGUCGGAGCCAUGCCUUAGUGCCUCAUUCACCUGGAGGGACCGUAGUCGGAGGCCCCAACUGACUUUAAGACUGAACUCAAGCGUCACCUCUCAAGGACCCUUUGCUGUGUCGCCCAGAAUGAGGACUCCUCCCUUCUGCUCCCAAGCCACCUCUGAGCCUCCAGGCAGGUGAUACUGGGAUCACCAUUUGCUCAUCUACCUCCACGAGACCGGACCUCCUGGAGUGCAGUGGAUCCCACUGCCCUAGUCCUGGGAUUCAACUCAGGACCCGAGCUUAUCUCUGUGUUUUAGAUGAGGAACCGGCUCAGAAAUGAUCAGCAACUUACCUACAAUCCUCUCAGACCAUCAGUACCAGGAAGGUAUGGUCUGAAUACUCUCACCCCAUGUUGAAACUUAAUCACAAACGUGGCGGUAUUAGGAAGCGGGCCUUGGAAGGUGAUCGGAGCCCUUGGAAAAGAGAAUGUAGAGAGCCCUUUCAUCCUGUCUGUUGUGUAAGGACACAGCAAGAAGGUGCCAUCUAUGAACCAAGAACUGGCCCUCAACAGACACCAGAUCUGCCAGAGCCUCCAUCUUGGAUUUCUCAGCCUCCAGAGCUGUGAGAAAUAAACAUCUGUGGCCUAUAAGCCACAUGGUGUGUGGUAUUCUGUUAUUGCAAUCCACAUGAUUGAAGACACAACCUCUGUAGCCACGAGGACAGGACAAUGUUAUCUGAAAUUCGGGCACAGUCUUUCAGGAGAGCUCCAGCAUCCUCCCUGUGGAAUGAUGCUCAUGACAACACUCUUGUGGGGUCAUUGCAAGGCUUAGAUUAGAUCAUGUUGACAAAGUUCUCCGGGCACACACACAAAAAAACAAAACAAAAAACCAAAAGUGGACAAAGUUCCCAGCUCAACAUGGCGCAGGGAAGGUGCACAAUGCACAGGAAACCUCCCAGAGUGACACAUGCCUGAAAGUACCUGUUAUGGCUGUGUCUGGCUGUUCCCCCAAAGCCUCAUUUGGUCAUAGGUGGGGCUUUUUCAGAGGUGGCUGGAUCUAGUGUGUGAUUGAUUCACAAUGCAGAGCUAGGAUUAAGGGCGCUGGGAUUAAGGUGUGUGAUUACUAAAUCAGUCCACUGAUUGGU